CUAUUCAGCGGGAAACAUAUAUUUUUCUGCAGUAGCCUCUAUAUCAAGUCAAAGUUAUAUUGGAGUUGUACAUAGAAAGAGUUUUCUUCAUAAAACUUUGUUGUCCAACUUGCACAGACCAAAGGAUAUCGUUCUAUAUCCAUCAAAAGGAUUUUUAUACUGGUCAGAAACCGGAAGUACCAGAGAAAUAGGUAGAUCGUGCAUGGAUGGAACAUCACAAACCUACAUAGCAACAACAAAAAUUGGAGCCCCAACUGGUCUUGCAAUCGAUUUUACAUCCAAUAGACUUUACUGGACUGAUGGACCUAAAGAUCGUAUUGAGUACUCUGACUUAAAUGGAGGAAACAGACAUGUUUUGACAACAGAUAAAGACGCAUUUCCCAUUGGAAUUGUUGUUCAUGAACAAUAUCUCUA